rnacentral:tRNA from 1 species
GCCCAGGUGGCGGAAUGGUAGACGCGGGGGGCUUAAACCCCCCUGGUGCGAAAGCGCUGUAUCGGUUCGAGUCCGAUCCCGGGCAC